rnacentral:lncRNA from 1 species
UAUGUUACUUGAGGGUUUCAUGAUCAUUGAUCUGGAUCAUGGACGGAACGCUAAUCAAUUUCAAUGUCGGGAAUGUCAGCGAUGAUUUUCCAGUAGUCUCCUUCGUUCUUCAAACACCGUUUUUUAAGAAGCGGGCACUUAUCAAUAUGAAGACUCCAAAGCCUGUCGAGCUGGUCUUCCAUAGGCAACGCCACAAGUUUUGGACAUCUGGAGAUCCAUAAAUGCCGAAGUGAUGUGAGGUUUUGGAAGCCCUUUGUUAGACUUUCUAGAUUGGGAAAGUCAAACAAGUUCAAUUUCCUUAUAGAUGGAGGAAGCAAAUGGUUGUUAUCAUCAUCAUUGUCGUCAUUAGAGAAGGAAAUCAGCUCUUGAUAGCAAAGACUCAAUUGGAAUAUUUCAAGAGAGGUGAUUUUGUGUAAGCCCCACUCCCCCAGGGGUUUUAGAUUCCCACAAUUACAGAAUGAAAGAUCCGUCAGAUUUGGAGGAAAUUUCCUUUGGGGAAAGGGCUCUACUAAUAAAGGACAACGCGUUACUAACAAGCUUUCAAGUGAUGAAAUUAGUUCCAUCCGAUCCGGUAAGGACUUCAAUUGUUGACAAUCAUGUGUAAAAAGACAUUUCAAAUUGGGAGUGGGCAAGCCUCCAGGGGGAAACGACUCCAGACCAUCACAGAAAUAUAUAUGUAGCCGAUGGAGACUUGUGUAAUUGUGAACUGAUCCCAGUAAAUUUGUCAAAUUAAAAUUCACCCUCAUUUCGACCGAAAGAAAUUCAAGUGAGGUGUUGCAAUCCUGUAGCUUCAUCAUGGUCUUCAAUGAGGAACAAUUCCUGAUUUCUAAACUUUUUAGACAAGAUAUGCUAUUGGGAACAAACUCUAGAGAUUCACAUUUCAGUAUGCGAAGGUCUCUAAGAACUGGAAGAGCAUCAAUGUCUCUAAGGGUCAAGAGCUUAGGACACGUGUUAACAGACAGCCGUCGUAGGUUGACUAGGCUUUGAGCAAUACGAUCACUUGGCCAUAGAGUCUCAAGGUCGUUACAAUCACAAACUUCCAAAUUUUCAAGUGCAAAAGGAAACUGCAUAAAUGCUUUUGAAACUGAAGUCAAUCUGAAAAUUUUCUCCAAAUUUAAUUGGGUUAAAGAUUCCAAAUUGUGCAUGUGACUUAGCACCACCUCAUUACACGCUUUCACUUUUAGUUCACGAAGGGAUGGCAAUGAGAGAAUUGGUAACUUGACCAAUUUUGGACAUUUUCGUAUGCACAAUUUAGAGAGCUGAGGAAAUCUGAUAACACCUUCUACUUCAUGUGUUAAUCCAAGCCAUUCCUCCCAAUUUGGCAUGUCCUCAAUAGUCAGCCUCUCUAGCGCUGGAAAAGGGCCCUUAUCUCCAUAAAAUUCAGCUCCUAUCACUUUUACUCGAUCCAUCCCUCCAAUGCUCAAUUCACAAAGGGAUGGCAGUGAGGGAAUCGGUAUCUUGACCAAUUUGGGACAUCGUUGUAUGCACAAUUUAGAGAGCUGAGGAAAUCUGACAACACCUUCUACUUCAUGUGUUAAUCCAAGCCAUUCCGCCCAAUCUAGCAUGUCCUCAAUAGUCAGCCUCUCUAGCUCUGGAAAAAGGCCUUUAUCUCCAUAAAAUUCGGCUCCUAUCACUUUUAUUCGAUCCAUCCAUCUAAUGCUCAAUUCUCUUAGGGAAGGUAGUUGCCCUAAUGAUGGUAAAGUAAUGCAAUUUCCACAAAAACUGAAGCUUAUCUUUUCCAACUUACUGAAUGAUAAAUCUCCAAUCCAAUUAGAGAAUUUUGAACCUCCAUAACAAUCAAUUUCAAGACUUUUUAAGUUAUAAUGAGGCUCUAAAGCAUUAAGCACGUCAAAUUCUAGAAUUUCAUUUCGGGAAUCACCAAACUCGCCAUUCCAUGCCAACCUUACUUCGUUAAGGCUUGGAUUAGACGUUAGUCUUGCGUCAAUUGCUUCCUGAACAUUUACCACAUUUUGCAAUUCCUCAAUAGAAAUUUUACCUUGUAGAAGUGAUAGAUUCCCCAAAUCCUUUAACCUCAUCCCACUGCUUUUGCUCACAAUCAUCUUGGGUAAUGUCUGCAAACUUUUUAGUUGAGCGAUUCCUUGAGGCAUCUCAUUUAAUUCACGAGUACCAGCAAUGUCCAGAUAGAAAAGAUUAAUGAGGUUUUCCAUGCUGGCAGGUAAUUUUGUAAGUUUGUAGCAUCCUCUUAGAAUCAACACUUGUAAAUUGAUAAGGUUGCUCACAGAUUCAGGCAAGCACUUCAAUAAAGUUUCAGCUAGGUCUAGGUACCGUAGAUGUUUUAAAUCACCAAUAGAAUUUGGCAACUCAUAUAUCGUAUAACCACUUAAUGAUAGAACUCUUAAGCAGUGCAAUUUCGGCAAUAUUUCAACCGAAACUUUGUCGGGAAAGAAUCUUUCAGGAUACCACCGCGGACACGGUAAGCGUAAAAAUGUUCUUAAGCUUCGAACUUUCUUCAGAAAAUUAAAUCUUUGGUACAUUUCAUAUUGAUGGGGAAUGAAUGACAAGUGACGGACAUUUCCAGAUAUGCUGCUGGGAAGAUUUUCCUUCAACUCAUCGUCCAUCCUCAAACAUUUUUCUCCAUCAACAAAUGUAGCUAGAUCGUUAAGGAGAUCAUGCAUCACAUAAUAUGAAGCAUUGGCACUUGAUCUUUGGAAGAAUGAUCUCGCAAACAGUUCGUCGAAAUAUUUACUGCCUACUUGUGUUAGCAUCUCUCUUUGUGAUACUUGUAAAAAACCUUCUGCUAUCCAAAGGUACACUAGCUUGGACUUGUCAAACUCGAAGUCUUUAGGAAACAGAGCACAAUAAGCAAAGCAUCUUUUCAGUUGUGGACGCAGAUAUUGGUAACUCAGUUUUAAAGAAGGAAGAAUUUUACUUUUGUCUUCUGCCAUCCAAUUCUCACUAUUCAAUACAUCCUCCCAUUCAUUAGGACUACCCAUUGUCCGCAGAAGCCCUCCAAGUGCCUUUAGUGCCAGUGGCAAGUUUCCACAUUUUUCCACCACGGCCUUACCAAUAUCUCUUAGAUCUGGACGUGCAUCAAAAGUUUUGGCUUCAAGUGCAUGUUGAGCUAACAAUGAUAAAGCAUCAGUACCCGACAACACAUUCAAAUCAUAAGCUGGACUAUGAGACAUGAUUUUCGCCACCGAACGCUGACGAGUUGUUACGAUGAUUUUGCUUCCAAGUUUGCUAGCCAGGAAUGGAUGCUUCAGGAUGUCCCAAUAUUCAUAAUAUUCGUUCCAAACAUCAUCUAAAACUAACAGAAAUUUCUUGUUUGACAGAUUUUGCUUUAGUUUCACCUGAAGCGUGUUAAAAUCAUGAUCGUCAUACCUUCCAGGGGAAACCUGUUUAAGAAUGGUUUUUGUAACCGUUGAAGCAUCAAAUUGAUCUGAAACGCAAGCCCACGCCUUCAGAUCAAAUUCGUCCUUUAAUCGAUCAUCAUUGUACACAAGUUGUGCAAGAGUUGUUUUGCCGACACCUCCCAUGCCCACUAUUGGAAUCACAGAUAUUGGAAUAUCACUUGAUUCUCCCCCCAACAACAUAUUGAUUAUAGUCUCUCUGUCUUUUUCCCUGCCAUAUACUCCAGAUUCUUCAACAACUGAAGUCAGAUCCAAUCUUUCUGUUGUUCUAUAAGGCCUCCCUCUCACAUUCUCGACCAAACUGAGUAUACUAAUCUGUUUGAAUAGAUCUUCCAAUCGACCACUAAUUUCAUUCAGCUUGGAAGCCAUCCCGCGAUCAGACAUAAAAUCAUGGAAAGAGAAAUUAGUACAACAAGAAGGAAUAAGCUUCCGUACCAUACUAGUGCUUGGCCUGUUGGCUUCGUGAUUUUCCUUUAUUUUGCGCCGGGUAGCUUCAGUGUUCAACUCAUCCACUAAGUCAUCCAGAUCAUAAGCCAAAUCCUCCAGAUCCUUCAGCCACUCCUUCACAGCUCCGUUUGUUGUUUGUUUGUUUUCAGCAUCAGUAAGCACUGCUUCCAUCAUCAACAAUUUCUUACGCCAUUCUUUCAGCUGGGAGUCGAUUCCUACACCAUGCAGGAAUUUCAUUAGCUCGCCAGAGACCAACUUCUCAAGCAAAACAGUAAUUAGUGCGCCAAUAAAAACUUCUCCGAUAGCCAUUGUUAUCUUUUUCUUAAGAAAGGAAACAAUAGAUGAAAGAUAGAAUGAAAGAGAGUUUAACUUCUUGAAUAGAAAUGAAAGGAAAUUUUCAAGUUGUGGUGGUCGUUUCACAAACUGAGAAAGCUGUCUACAAGUGCUGACAAUGGUGGGGUCAAUUAUCAAUUCACGCGGAGACAAUAAUUGAUCGGAGAAAAAAGCAAAGGUAUUGGUUUCUUUGUUGCUUCCUC